UGCACAAUUGCAUCCGCAGCACUGUGUAUCCUCUCAUGACUGAAAGUGGGGCUAAUUUCCACUGCAGAAAAAAGUCAAAAAUAGAAGGCAACCAGCCUCCUGAAGACUGAGCUGGAAUCUGAAUUCACAACAAGACAAGCACCAGAAAAGUCAAGAGGAAAGUCAGACAUCCACACCAUCAUGUGGCUGAAGUUAAGGGCAGGGACCAGGAUAAUCAGCAUCUCUGGAAGUCUCCAGGAGAGCAAAAUCAAGCAUCCACCCCUAACAAGCUGCCACUGCAGGUUUUGCACUCAAUUUCCCCAUGUUCACAUAAGGACAAAAGAGAGGAACAUAUCAAGCUGGUUUGCUGGUGGACAUACUCCAAGGAGGAGCAAGCAUUGAGCAAGCAGAGUCUCCACAGGCCUGUAGCAUCC